CAGCAGCCACGGUAAUACGAAGGGUGCAAGCGUUAAUCGAAAUUACUGGGCGUAAAGCGUGCGUAGGCGGUUUGUUAAGUCUGUUGUGAAAUCCCCGGGCUCAACCUGGGAAUGGCAAUGGAUACUGGCAAGCUAGAGUGUGUCAGAGGAUGGUGGAAUUCCCGGUGUAGCGGUGAAAUGCGUAGAGAUCGGGAGGAACAUCAGUGGCGAAGGCGGCCAUCUGGGACAACACUGACGCUGAGGCACGAAAGCGUGGGAGCAAACAGGAUUAGAUACCCCCGUAGUCCCUGUCUCUUAUACA
rnacentral:rRNA from 1 species